rnacentral:rRNA from 1 species
AUUGAACGCUGGCGGCAGGCCUAACGCAUGCAAGUCGAGCGGAUGAAGGGAGCUUGCUCCUGGAUUCAGCGGCGGACGGGUGAGUAAUGCCUAGGAAUCUGCCUGGUAGUGGGGGAUAACGUCCGGAAACGGGCGCUAAUACCGCAUGCGUCCUGAGGGAGAAAGUGGGGGAUCUUCGGACCUCACGCUAUCAGAUGAGCCUAGGUCGGAUUAGCUAGUUGGUGGGGUAAAGGCCUACCAAGGCGACGAUCCGUAACUGGUCUGAGAGGAUGAUCAGUCACACUGGAACUGAGACACGGUCCAGACUCCUACGGGAGGCAGCAGUGGGGAAUAUUGGACAAUGGGCGAAAGCCUGAUCCAGCCAUGCCGCGUGUGUGAAGAAGGUCUUCGGAUUGUAAAGCACUUUAAGUUGGGAGGAAGGGCAGUAAGUUAAUACCUUGCUGUUUUGACGUUACCAACAGAAUAAGCACCGGCUAACUUCGUG